AAGAAUAGGUUUUUUUCGAGCCUGAGUCAAGGAUAAACCCUUGGCUAGUUCACGAAACAGUGGGCGACACAAUCAAAUUCAGGGAAAAUCCAGUGUAGGUAUAAUAUUAAUUACCUACCAAUGUAUUUGAUACCAAGCAUUAUUGAGAAAUCAUAAUGUGGCUUCGGGGAGCGGAACUCGAAGGUAUGGUAAAAAAGCAAAUACAUUUAUGGAUAAUCCUGAGCGAAGCCUCUAAACUCUUGAAAAAGGGCAUGAGGAACGUGCAUCGACUAGAUGGUUGUGGGCUGCUUAAUAAGUGGCUUAAGGUAUAGUCAAGUCCCACCGGAGACGGUGCU
rnacentral:ncRNA from 1 species